rnacentral:rRNA from 1 species
AAUCUACACGACUCUCGGCAACGGAUAUCUUGGCUCUCGCAUCGAUGAAGAACGUAGCAAAAUGCGAUACCUGGUGUGAAUUGCAGAAUCCCGCGAACCAUCGAGUCUUUGAACGCAAGUUGCGCCCAAGGCCUUUCGGCUGAGGGCACGCCUGCCUGGGCGUCACGC